rnacentral:rRNA from 1 species
GACGAACGCUGGCGGCGUGCCUAACACAUGCAAGUCGAACGGAGAUGUUGAUUUCGGUUGACGUCUUAGUGGCGAACGGGUGAGUAACACGUGAGCAACCUGCCCCAGACUCUGGGAUAACAGUUGGAAACAGCUGCUAAUACCGGAUACGAGACGGAGAGGCAUCUCUACCGUCUGGAAAGUUUUUCGGUCUGGGAUGGACUCGCGGCCUAUCAGCUAGUUGGUGAGGUAAUGGCUCACCAAGGCGACGACGGGUAGCCGGCCUGAGAGGGCGACCGGCCACACUGGGACUGAGACACGGCCCAGACUCCUACGGGAGGCAGCAGUGGGGAAUAUUGCACAAUGGGCGAAAGCCUGAUGCAGCGACGCCGCGUGAGGGAUGAAGGCCUUCGGGUUGUAACCUCUUCUAGCAGGGAAGAAGCGAAAGUGACGGUACCUGCAGAAGAAGCACCGGCUAACCUACGUGCCAGCAGCCGCGGUAAUAUAGCGUAC